GUUGUGGAUGAACGGACGAAGCUUCUAGUUCAGGUAGCAGCGCUAAUAGCUGUGGUUCAGGCCUGGAUCAUGUUGGUCCAUAAGAGAGUUGUUCGUUAGAAUGAAAAACCUCUCAUCUUGUAUGGUCUUAUGUUAAUCCGGGAUCAGGAGAGGAUAGCCAAUCUGAACUACAUCUACAAGUGCAAUGACACAGAGGCUCUGUGGAUGCUUCGAAUGAAAAGAGCACCUUUCUCCAGGCUUGUGCAGAUGUUCAGAAAUAGGGGGCUGCUAGAAGAUAGCAUCCACACCACUGUGGAAGAGCAAGUAGUCAUAUUCCUCCAUGUUGUUGGUCAUACCCAAAGGUUCAGGGUUGUACACAACACCUUCAAGAGAUCAAUGGAGACCAUCUCCAGAUACUUCUAGCAAGUGUUGUAUGCUGUUAGGGAACUUAGAGGAGAGAUGAUCAUGUUGCCAACUGGGCAGACUCCUACCAAGAUUCGCACUACCCCAAAGGUAUCCAUACUUCAAAGUGAGCUGUGA
rnacentral:rRNA from 1 species